AAUUGGGUUAACCUACUUGCUGCAUUUACUACCUUGAUAUUUGUUAUCCUGUCCUUGACACCUGUUUUAUUUCAAAAUCGCGUAGUAAUGCUUAGCCCUGCUACUAGAUAGGUUUUCAAACAAGAAAGUUUGAAGGGUUGUUGUGGAAUACACUUAUGGUCAAUGAUGUUUCAACUUGAGACCGGUCGGUGGACUUGCUUUAAGAAUGGAGUCUUAAAGUAGUGUCUCCAACUGUGUCGGUUAAGGACCG
rnacentral:lncRNA from 1 species